CCAGGGCAUACGGUGGAUGACUUGGCGUCAAGAGGCGAUGAAAGACGUUGGAACCUGCGAAAAGCUACAGGGAGCUGGUAACCGAGCUGUGAUCUGUAGAUGUCUGAAUGGGGCAACCCACCCGCAAGGGUAUCGUGCACUGAAUGCAUAGGUGUACGAGGCGAACCCAGGGAACUGAAACAUCUAAGUACCUGGAGGAAAGGAAAGCAACAUGCGACUCCGUAAGUAGCGGCGAGCGAAAGCGGAUAGAUGUGAACUCUGUGAACACGUUGGAAUGCGUGACCAAAGACGGUGAAAGUCCGGUAGCGGAAUGUAGCAUCAUAGCUCUAGAGUAGGCUCGGGCUCGUGGAACCCGGGUUGAAUAUGGGAGGUCCACCUUCCAAGGCUAAGUACUCCUUGACGACCGAUAGCGAAGAAGUAAAGUGAUUGAAUGUUUAAAAGUACCCCUAUUAGGGGGGUGAAAUAGACCUGAAACCGUGUGCCUACAAGCGGUCGGAGCCCUGAGGGGUGACGGCGUGCUUUUUGCAUAAUGAGCCCGCGAGUUAGUCUCAGUGGCGAGCUUAAGGCCUACCGGGCCGGAGGCGGAGCGAAAGCGAGUCUGAAUAGGGCGUAUAGUCGCUGGGGCUAGACACGAAACCCGUGUGAUCUACCCAUGGUCAGGGUGAAGGUGGGGUAAAACCCGCUGGAGGCCCGAACCCGUCAUCGUUGAAAAGAUGUGGGAUGAACUGUGGGGAGGGGUCAAAGUCCAAUCAAACCGGGAGAUAGCUUGUUCUCACCGAAAUAACUUUAGGGUUAGCCUCAAGAAGCAACUGUUGGGGGUAGAGCUACUGGAUGCGUGGUGGGCCCGUCUAGGGUACCCCAUGCAACCAAACUCCGAAUACCAACAGCCAAGUCUUGGGAGAUAGACUGCGAGUGAAAAUAUCCGUAGUCAAAAGGAGAAUAAUCCAGAUCGCCGGCUAAGGUCCCCAAAUCAUGCUUAGUUCUUAAGGAGGUCAGACUGCCGUGACAACCAGGAUGUUGGCUUAGAAGCAGCCAUCAUUUAAAGAGUGCGUAAUAGCUCACUGGUCGAGGAGUUUGGCGCCGAUAAUGAUCGGGAAUAAGCAUGAUACCGAAGCCGCGGACUUCGUAAGAAGUGGUAGGUGAGCGUUCCAUUCAGCGGUGAAGGUGCUCUGAAAAGGGUGCUGGAGCGUAUGGAAGUGAAUAUGCGGGCUUGAGUAACGAUAAAAAGGGUGAGAAUCCCUUUCGCCGUAAGUCUAAGGUUUCCUGGGGAAGGUAAAUCCGCCCAGGGUUAGCCGGGUCCUAAGGCGAGGCCGAAAGGCGUAGUCGAUGGAUAGCAGGUUAAUAUUCCUGCGCACCUGUUGAGAUCAAAGCAUAGUGCGGAUUUCCAAGCUCUUCUGGACUGCUAGUUGUCCAGGCCUUCGGGCCGUUGAAGGGGGAGGGAGUUCCUAGAAAAGCUAUGUGGGCAAUACAGGUCCCGUACUAAAACUGACACAGGUAGACGAGGCGAAUAGCCUCAGGCGCUCGAGAGAAUGGUCGUGAAGGAAUUAGGCAAAAUCACUCCGUAAGUUCGCGAGAAGGAGGCCCUUCGGGGCGCAGAGAAAAGGCCCUGGCAACUGUUUAUCAAAAACACAGCACUGUGCUAACUCGCAAGAGGAUGUAUACAGUGUGACGCUUGCCCAAUGCCCGAAUGUCACGGAAGCAGGUUAGCUUCGGCGAAGCUUGCAACUUAAGCACGGGUCAAUGGCGGCCGUAACUAUGACGGUCCUAAGGUAGCGAAGUUCCUUGUCGGGUAAGUUCCGACGCGCAUGAAUAGCGUAAUGACUGGGGCACUGUCUCCACGACCAACUCGGUGAAAUAGUAGUGGCGGUGUAGAUGCCGCCUACCCGCAGCAAGACGGAAAGACCCCGUGAACCUUUACUGCAGGCUCAUAUUGGUCAUGAGCACAUG
rnacentral:rRNA from 11 species